rnacentral:ncRNA from 1 species
CCCGACAAAGGCAAACCAACCGUGAGGUUGGGACGCAAAGCCGUGGGUCUCCAGUGGAGAAUGCCAGGCUGCUGGGC